rnacentral:tRNA from 2 species
GUCCAAGUAGCUUAUAGUAAAGCAUAGCACUGAAGAUGCUAAGAUGGCUGCUACACGUAGCCCGUGGACA